CUCUGGCCAAGUUGAACAUGGGGAGGGUUACACUGAAAGAUUGGGAUGUAACUGGACCCCAUGUGCUAAAAAGGAUGAUAAAGGAGUUGUUUGUCCCUUUCUAACAGGUACAACAAAACAGGAGAGUGAGGGAGACGUCAUCCAAAGAGCUCUCCACACAAUCCCCCAGAAGUGCCAGGCUUUGCAGCAAUUUUGCACAGCUGGAAUUGCAGGUUGUGAUGAAGACUGUCCUUGCAAGAAAAACAAUACGCUAAGCCCGCGCACAUCAAGAGCGCAAAGGUUUGAUGUCCCAGCUGGCAACUGUUGGCUAAUUAGCCUCUGUUCUAGUUUGGCUUGUUGCAGCUACACGACUCAUCAGCGGCUAAUGAACAGUGUUUGUCCGUCUGCAGCCUCUGAAGGGUGCUGAGAGCCGUGGUGGACAACACAAGGAGAGUGUAGUGGCUCCAGCAGUGACCAAAUGUUCACAAAGUGGGUUUUCGAUCCGGAGAGUGAACAGCUGUUUAUCUCAGUUCUACAAAAAGGAUGUGUCUGAAAUGCAGAUUAUGUUGGUACAAAUGAAAUGAUAAUGUGACUUCAUUAAAAGCUGUAAUCACAUUACUUUUCCUGAAAUGUGACAACAAACUAUUUUCAUUAUACUUUUAAACUUAUUUUAAAUGAUUAAAUAUUUUUUUUUUGAUAUUAA